AGUAGGACGCACAGUUUAUACCGUAGCUUGCUACACCAUAGACUGUGAGUUGCGAACGGGUGAGUAACGCGUAGGUAACCUGCCUAUUAGAGGGGGAUAACUAUUGGAAACGAUAGCUAAUACCGCAUAACAGUAUGUAACACAUGUUAGAUGCUUGAAAGAUGCAAUUGCAUCGCUAGUAGAUGGACCUGCGUUGUAUUAGCUAGUAGGUAGGGUAAUGGCCUACCUAGGCGACGAUACAUAGCCGACCUGAGAGGGUGAUCGGCCACACUGGGACUGAGACACGGCCCAGACUCCUACGGGAGGCAGCAGUAGGGAAUCUUCGGCAAUGGGGGGAACCCUGACCGAGCAACGCCGCGUGAGUGAAGAAGGUUUUCGGAUCGUAAAGCUCUGUUGUUAAGGAAGAACGAGUGUGAGAAUGGAAAGUUCAUACUGUGACGGUACUUAACCAGAAAGGGACGGCUAACUACGUGCCAGCAGCCGCGGUAAUACGUAGGUCCCGAGCGUUGUCCGGAUUUAUUGGGCGUAAAGCGAGCGCAGGCGGUUAGAAAAGUCUGAAGUGAAAGGCAGUGGCUCAACCAUUGUAGGCUUUGGAAACUGUUUAACUUGAGUGCAGAAGGGGAGAGUGGAAUUCCAUGUGUAGCGGUGAAAUGCGUAGAUAUAUGGAGGAACACCGGUGGCGAAAGCGGCUCUCUGGUCUGUAACUGACGCUGAGGCUCGAAAGCGUGGGGAGCGAACAGGAUUAGAUACCCUGGUAGUCCACGCCCGUAACGAUGAGUGCU
rnacentral:rRNA from 1 species